rnacentral:rRNA from 1 species
ACGAACGCUGGCGGCGCGCUUGACACAUGCAAGUCGAACGGAAAGGCCUGCUUUCCCUUGUGGAUUGCGGGUACUCGAGUGGCGAACGGGUGAGUAACACGUGAGUGAUCUGCCCCCAACUUGGGUAUAAGCCUGGGAAACUGGGUCUAAUUCCCGAUAGGACUGCAGGGUGGUGCCUGUGGUGGAAAACGAUUUUCUAGUGGUUGGGGAUGAGCUCGCGGCCUAUCAGCUUGUUGGUGGGGUAAUGGCCUACCAAGGCGGCGACGGGUAGCCGGCCUGAGAGGGUGGACGGCCACAUUGGGACUGAGAUACGGCCCAGACUCCUACGGGAGGCAGCAGUGGGGAAUAUUGCACAAUGGGCGGAAGCCUGAUGCAGCGACGCCGCGUGGGGGAUGACGGCCUUCGGGUGGUAAACUCCUUUCGACCGCGAGGAAGCCACCUGGUUGGAAGGGUGAUGACGGUAGUGGUAGAAGAAGCACCGGCUAACUACGUG